rnacentral:tRNA from 1 species
GUGCCCUUAGCUCAGUCGGCAGAGCGCCUGGUUGUGGUCCAGGAGGUCGCCGGUUCAACCCCGGUAGGGCACC